rnacentral:lncRNA from 1 species
UCGAAGAGAACCAUCACAGUCUAAACUUCUAUCUGAACUGCUAAAUCCCAAACCUGGCUUCUUCUCUGCUUUGCUGGAAAUUGCGAUACCUACGGAAAACUCGAUUAUCAAAAACAAACACAUGUAUGGACUCCGUAGCACAAAUUAGAAUCAAAGAACAGCAUAAUCUACCUUUUUCACGCCAUCAAAGACCAUAAUAACAACAAUCCCGGCACUCUCACAAAAGAAAAAAACAAUCACACUUCAAAACAAAUAGAUCCAAUACUGAAAGACUGAAGAAGAAGAAGAGAAGCGCAGAAAAAGGUUGAGAACUCACCAAACGGAGAUAUGGCACUUCCAAGCAGGGAAGGAAUAACAAAGGAAAACCCAAAGAGCAAGAAAGAGUAGCGGAGGAAGAGAAUUAAAGAGACUAA